AUACGGAGGAUCCGAGCGUUAUCCGGAUUUAUUGGGUUUAAAGGGAGCGUAGAUGGAUGUUUAAGUCAGUUGUGAAAGUUUGCGGCUCAACCGUAAAAUUGCAGUUGAAACUGGCAGGCUUGAGUACAGUAGAGGCGGGCGGAAUUCGUGGUGUAGCGGUGAAAUGCUUAGAUAUCACGAAGAACUCCGAUUGCGAAGGCAGCUCACUAGACUGUUACUGACACUGAUGCUCGAAAGUGUGGGUAUCAAACAGGAUUAGAUACCCUGGUAGUCCACACAGUAAACGAUGAAUACUCGCUGUUUGCGAUAUACAGUAAGCGGCCAAGCGAAAGCAUUAAGUAUUCCACCUGGGGAGUACGCCGGCAACGGUGAAACUCAAAGGAAUUGGCGGGG
rnacentral:rRNA from 1 species